rnacentral:lncRNA from 1 species
UUCGCCACGAAGGAUUUCCCGCGCUGUAGGAGCAAGUCCAGGACCACUGGCUGGACAUGAGAGUCCCAGCUUGUGCUGUUCUGUCAUUUUCUCUAACGUGGGAAGCUCAGCUGCGUAACUUGUAGUAACGAAGCGGAAGUUACAACGAAAAGACAAGUUUUCCUGUGCUUCGCAGGCCCCCCCUCCCCCCCCACCAAGGCCUGCAGUGGAUAGAGCCUAGCAGAUCCUGGACAAUACUAUCCUAAAAGCUACAUCUCUGACAGUGAUUUCCAGCGACUUUGUCAACACGGUCCGCCCCCAGCAAGUAUAAGAGGAAAAACAACAAAUGUCUUUACUGCCUUGUCUUUCCCCCUUGCCACUUGUCAUUAUUCAAGUUUUGUAAGUUCCUGAUUUCCAUUCAGUGCAGCUGCAAGGUUACCAGCUGUGCUUGCGUUGCAAGACCUGUCACAGUUUGAUUAACUGCCUUCUUUCUGCUUCUGUAAGCCCUCUUGCCUGCCCCGCGAGUUU